rnacentral:rRNA from 1 species
UACGAAGGGGGCUAGCGUUGCUCGGAAUUACUGGGCGUAAAGGGCGCGUAGGCGGAUACUUAAAUUAGAGGUGAAAGCCCAGGGCUCAACCCUGGAAUAGCCUUUAAUACUGGGUAUCUUGAGUUCGGGAGAGGUGAGUGGAACUCCGAGUGUAGAGGUGAAAUUCGUAGAUAUUCGGAAGAACACCAGUGGCGAAGGCGACUCACUGGCCCGAUACUGACGCUGAGGCGCGAAAGCGUGGGGAGCAAACAGGG